AUUGAACGCUGGCGGCAGGCCUAACACAUGCAAGUCGAACGGUAGCACAGAGAGCUUGCUCUCGGGUGACGAGUGGCAGACGGGUGAGUAAUGUCUGGGAAACUGCCCGAUGGAGGGGGAUAACUACUGGAAACGGUAGCUAAUACCGCAUAACGUCGCAAGACCAAAGUGGGGGACCUUCGGGCCUCACACCAUCGGAUGUGCCCAGAUGGGAUUAGCUAGUAGGUGGGGUAAUGGCUCACCUAGGCGACGAUCCCUAGCUGGUCUGAGAGGAUGACCAGCCACACUGGAACUGAGACACGGUCCAGACUCCUACGGGAGGCAGCAGUGGGGAAUAUUGCACAAUGGGCGCAAGCCUGAUGCAGCCAUGCCGCGUGUAUGAAGAAGGCCUUCGGGUUGUAAAGUACUUUCAGCGGGGAGGAAGGCGGUGAAGUUAAUAACUUCACCGAUUGACGUUACCCGCAGAAGAAGCACCGGCUAACUCCGUGCCAGCAGCCGCGGUAA
rnacentral:rRNA from 1 species